GGAGAGAUGGCCGAGCGGCUGAAGGCGCACGCUUGGAAAGCGUGUUUACCUCACGGUAACGUGGGUUCGAAUCCCACUCUCUCCG
rnacentral:tRNA from 1 species